rnacentral:rRNA from 1 species
UACGGGGGGGGUAAGCGUUGUUCGGAAUUACUGGGCGUAAAGGGCUCGUAGGCGGCCAACUAAGUCGGACGUGAAAUCCCUCAGCUUAACUGGGGAACUGCGUCCGAUACUGGAUGGCUUGGAUUUGGGAGAGGGAUGCGGAAUUCCAGGUGUAGCGGUGAAAUGCGUAGAUAUCGAGAGGAACACCGGUGGCGAAGGCGGAUCUCUGGGCCGAUACUGACGCUGAGGUGCGAAAGCGUGGGGAGCGAACAGG